rnacentral:rRNA from 1 species
GACGGAGGGUGCUAGCGUUGUUCGGAAUUACUGGGCGUAAAGGGCGCGUAGGCGGCCGUUUGCGUCGGAUGUGAAAGCCCGGGGCUCAACCCCGGAACGGCAUCCGAUACGGGACAGCUGGAGACCGGGAGAGGAGGGUGGAAUAGCCAGUGUAGAGGUGAAAUUCGUAGAUAUUGGCUGGAACACCGGUGGCGAAAGCGGCUCUCUGGCCCGGUUCUGACGCUGAGGCGCGAAAGCGUGGGGAGCAAACAGG